rnacentral:ncRNA from 1 species
UUUUGAUAAGGGUAAACCCUGAGUGAUCGGGGGGCGCAAAGUAGUGGAUCUUUAAGCCUGUACGGACGGGGUUUUAAAAAACCGGUUUUUGCGGGAAUAAAGACAGCCUUACUGCCGGA